CCAUUCCUACAUAUAUUUAUUUGGUAUUGAUGAUGAGGAACCCCGUCAAAAAUUCCUGUAAGGGAGACUACUACUCGACUGUUAGGGGUAUUGCAACAUUUACAUACAUGUAGCUUAUCACAUACGUAAACAUUUACACAAAUAGUACAGCGGUGAACCACCAAGUUCUCAUUCCACAUUCCUUUCCCACACUGCGUUUACCUGCCCAUUCUUGAAACUGGAUCUCAGGGCAGCACAUUGCAUUUCAACAGGCCUAGUGCUGCUUCUCAGAGGCAGUCAACUCAAUGGUGCAAAAGCACAGGACAGCGACAAGGCAUUCACACUACACAGACAUGUGAUCUCUUACUGACAGCAGGAAGGGAAGAGAGAUGGAGAUCCCGGGUGGGAAAGCGACAACAUGCAUCACAGGAGCCAUGUGAGAUGCGGUGAGGACCGCUGGUACGCAGCGUCCCUUGCCAAGGAAUGCCUCACAGCCAUCCGAGAAUGACAGGCACGAAACAUGAGGACCUUCCUCGGGUCAGUCAAGCAUCAUGCUGGGAGGACUCCCACGUGUCCCGGUACACAGGUCCUGGCACUCAUCCGACCACAGCUUGCUGUUUGGUCCCCAAAAUGGGCCCACACCCAGGCGCUGCCAACACGGCGGCUCCGUCUGAGUCCCUUCGGGUCUCCAUCCCAUGGGGGUGCACGUCUCAGUUUUCCUCUAACCACUGCUUGAGCAGCCUCUGAAACAUUAUUUUGCUCUCCUGCUGCCUCUCUCGCUGGCGCUUCUCCUCUGUCUCCUGUGGCUGGAGUGCCGCUUCAGGCAGAGGCCCGGGCUGGUUGGUGCCUAGGCUGAGAGUCAAGCCACUGAGGCCCUGCACCAGCGUCUCCCAGGAGGAGGGAUGUGGGGCCCUGUUACUCUCCCCAGGGAUCCCAGAAAGAUUCGGCCUGUGGCUCUGGCAGUAUCGACAUUCACAUCGGAAUCGAUUCUGACUUCUGUCACCUAAUGGGGAGAUUCUGGCUUCCCUCCCAACAGGGUCUUCUCCUCUCUGUACCGCUGGCGGAGCAGCCCCUCUGGGAGAGGCACGGCCUGGCUGGGGCCAGGACCGGGGCUCAGGUUACUGAGGCCCAUCAUCGGCUGUUCUGAGUACGAAGGCUGAGAGGGCGCUGGACCUUCCUGGGAAGUCUCUGCAGCUGUCAUCGGGGAAGAUUUGGAAGGCGAUGCUGGAUUCCGUUUCUGGAGUGGAUCCAUGGAGGUCUGGUCCCAGCUGGAAGCUCCGCCAGGCCCUCGGGUCCAGAAAAGGAGGUAGGAAUGUGUGCGGGCAGAACCCAGACUGCAACGCAAGGUGAUAAGACAAGAAAACACAGAAUUAUUCAUCUUACUCAACCUCUCUGUCCCUCCACUUCCUGUGUGUAGAAUGGGGAUUAUAGAGAGACCCUGUCCUAGGCUUCUUCUGAGGAUGACGUGAGAUCAUACAUCUCACCAGCUUAGAAUAUUAAUGCCAUCUAAUAAAGGAUUUACAAAUGAUACCAAUUAAUGCAUCCACGUGACACGGGGUGCAAAAGGAUGCAAUGCAGUUCGACGAUGUCAAUUCCCUGCUGACAUUUUCCAACCCCUUCCCAAGCAUCAUUUGUAGAAUAAUCAAUGUGUGACUCACAGGUGCUCUGCCCAUGAGCGUUCAUUUUCAUCCACUCACAAGGGAGACUUUUACUCAACUGUAAGCGUUUGCACCAUGGGGACACACCCUUUUGUAUGUUCGCCUUCCUGACCACUGGGUUUGCAUCUAGUCGAAAAGGCUGCUCAUGCCUAUGGAAAUCGUUUCCAAAUUCCUAGUGUGGAUAAGAAUUUAUUUUGCUAAACAACAGAAGCAUAAACCCCCAGGAGACUUCAAACAGAAAAACACAUAGAUGAAUUCAAUUAAUCCAGGAAAAAAAAAAAAAAAAAAGCUGGUUCUUUGAAGUGAUCAAUGAAAUUGAUACACCCGUGGCAGGACUGGCUGGGAAAAAAGAGGGCAAAGAAACAAGUUACCAAUAUCAGGAAUGCAAGAAGAGAUUUCACUCCAGACCCAGAAAACAUAAAAGGGUCAAUAUGGUAAGAAUACACGCAACUCUACAGAUUCACAUUCCACAGGUCAGAGGAAAUGUAGCACAUACUUGAAAACCACAAGCUACGGAAACUCACACAGGAUGGAUUUCAAACACUGAACUGUGUGCACAGUCCUAUAUGUUUUAAAGAAGUUGAAUUCACAGGCAAACACAUUUGCAAAAAGAUCUCUGGGCCAAGACAGUUUCACUGGCCAAGUCUACCAAACGUUUAAUGAAGAAAUAUCACCAACUUACACAACUUCUUCUAGGAAACAAAGCAGAGGGAAUGCGCCCCACUGAUUUUAUGAGGCCAGCACCACAGGGAUACCAAGAAAAGGACAGACCAGUAUUCUUUCCUAGUACAGGCACCAAAGUAUUCAACAAAACCUUGCAGUUUGAAUUGAGCAAUAUGUGAGAAGAAUAAUAAGCCACGAUCAAGUGGGUUUUAUAGCGGGAAUGCAAGGGUUGUUCUUCCCACACCUGAAAAUCAAUCAAUGUAACCCACAGAUUGAGAGAUCAGAUGAAGAACAAAAAUGACAGGAUCACAUCAAGCUAUGCAGAAAAACCCUUUGAUAAGAUUCAAAGUCCACUGGUG
rnacentral:lncRNA from 10 species